rnacentral:tRNA from 1 species
GCCUCCGUGGCGCAAUCGGUUAGCGCGUUCGGCCGUUCACCGAAAGGUUGGUGGUUUGAGUCCACCCAGUGGCG